GACGAACGCUGGCGGCGUGCCUAAUACAUGCAAGUCGAGCGGACAGAAGGGAGCUUGCUCCCGGAAGUUAGCGGCGGACGGGUGAGUAACACGUGGGCAACCUACCCUGUAGAUCGGGAUAACAUCGAGAAAUCGGUGCUAAUACCGGAUAAUCAUUUGAAAUGCAUGCUUCGAAUGUAAAAGAUGGCUCCGGCUAUCACUACGGGAUGGGCCCGCGGCGCAUUAGCUGGUUGGUAAGGUAAUGGCUUACCAAGGCAACGAUGCGUAGCCGACCUGAGAGGGUGAUCGGCCACACCGGGACUGAGACACGGCCCAGACUCCUACGGGAGGCAGCAGUAGGGAAUCUUCCGCAAUGGACGAAAGUCUGACGGAGCAACGCCGCGUGAGUGAUGAAGGUUUUCGGAUCGUAAAGCUCUGUUGUUAGGGAAGAACAAGUGCCGUUUGAAUAAGGCGGCACCUUGACGGUACCUAACCAGAAAGCCACGGCUAACUACGUGCCAGCAGCCGCCGUAAAAC
rnacentral:rRNA from 1 species